rnacentral:rRNA from 1 species
UGGAGGUAGAGCACUGUUUGGACUAGGGGGCCAUCCCGGUUUACCGAAUUCAGACAAACUCCGAAUGCCAGAUAUUUAUACACGGGAGUCAGACUGCGAGUGAUAAGAUCCGUAGUCAAAAGGGAAACAGCCCAGACCACCAGCUAAGGUCCCAAAGUAAUCGUUAAGUGGAAAAGGAUGUGGCGUUGCACAGACAACCAGGAUGUUGGCUUAGAAGCAGCCAUCAUUUAAAGAGUGCGUAAUAGCUCACUGGUCGAGUGACGCUGCGCCGAAAAUGUAUCGGGGCUAAACGAUUCACCGAAGCUGUGGAUUGACAUCUACGAUGUCAGUGGUAGGAGAGCGUUCUAAGUGCGUUGAAGUCAGACCGGAAGGACUGGUGGAGCGCUUAGAAGUGAGAAUGCCGGUAUGAGUAGCGAAAGACGGGUGAGAAUCCCGUCCACCGUAUGACUAAGGUUUCCUGAGGAAGGCUCGUCCGCUCAGGGUUAGUCGGGACCUAAGCCGAGGCCGAUAGGCGUAGGCGAUGGACAACAGGUUGAUAUUCCUGUACCACCUCCUCACCGUUUGAGAAAUGGGGGGACGCAGUAGGAUAGGGUAAGCGCGCUGUUGGUUAUGCGCGUCCAAGCAGUAAGGCGUGUGUGUAGGCAAAUCCGCACACUGUAACGUUGAGCUGUGAUGGCGAGUCCGUAUGGACGAAGUUCCUGAUUUCACACUGCCAAGAAAAGCCUCUAUCGAGGUGAGAGGUGCCCGUACCGCAAACCGACACAGGUAGUCGAGGAGAGAAUCCUAAGGUGUGCGAGAGAACUCUCGUUAAGGAACUCGGCAAAAUGACCCCGUAACUUCGGGAGAAGGGGUGCUCUUGAGCGUGCAAGCGCAUGAGAGCCGCAGUGAAUAGGCCCAGGCGACUGUUUAGCAAAAACACAGGUCUCUGCAAAACCGUAAGGUGACGUAUAGGGGCUGACGCCUGCCCGGUGCUGGAAGGUUAAGAGGAGUGGUUAGCGCAAGCGAAGCUGCGAAUUGAAGCCCCAGUAAACGGCGGCCGUAACUAUAACGGUCCUAAGGUAGCGAAAUUCCUUGUCGGGUAAGUUCCGACCCGCACGAAAGGCGUAACGAUCUGGGCACUGUCUCAACGAGAGACUCGGUGAAAUUAUAGUACCUGUGAAGAUGCAGGUUACCCGCGACAGGACGGAAAGACCCCGUGGAGCUUUACUGUAGCCUGAUAUUGAAUUUUGGUACAACUUGUACAGGAUAGGUAGGAGCCAGAGAUCUCGGAGCGCCAGCUUCGAAGGAGGCGUCGGUGGGAUACUACCCUGGUUGUAUUGAAAUUCUAACCCAUGCCCCUUAGCGGGGCAGGAGACAGUGUCAGGCGGACAGUUUGACUGGGGCGGUCGCCUCCUAAAAGGUAACGGAGGCGCCCAAAGGUUCCCUCAGAAUGGUUGGAAAUCAUUCGUAGAGUGUAAAGGCACAAGGGAGCUUGACUGCGAGACCUACAAGUCGAGCAGGGUCGAAAGACGGGCUUAGUGAUCCGGUGGUUCCGCAUGGAAGGGCCAUCGCUCAACGGAUAAAAGCUACCCCGGGGAUAACAGGCUUAUCUCCCCCAAGAGUCCACAUCGACGGGGAGGUUUGGCACCUCGAUGUCGGCUCAUCGCAUCCUGGGGCUGUAGUCGGUCCCAAGGGUUGGGCUGUUCGCCCAUUAAAGCGGUACGCGAGCUGGGUUCAGAACGUCGUGAGACAGUUCGGUCCCUAUCCGUCGUGGGCGUAGGAAAUUUGAGAGGAGCUGUCCUUAGUACGAGAGGACCGGGAUGGACACACCGCUGGUGUACCAGUUGUCUUGCCAAAGGCAUCGCUGGGUAGCUAUGUGUGGACGGGAUAAGUGCUGAAAGCAUCUAAGCAUGAAGCCCCCCUCAAGAUGAGAUUUCCCAUUACGCAAGUAAGUAAGAUCCCUCAAAGACGAUGAGGUAGAUAGGUUCGAGGUGGAAGUGUGGUGACACAUGGAGCUGACGAAUACUAAUCGAUCGAGGACUUAACCA